rnacentral:rRNA from 1 species
AUGCACGCUGGCGGCGUGCCUCAUCCCUGCCAGUCGAGCGCACAGAUAAGGAGCUUGCUCCUUUGACGUUAGCGGCGGACGGGUGAGUAACACGUGGGUAACCUACCUAUAAGACUGGGAUAACUUCGGGAAACCGGAGCUAAUACCGGAUAAUAUUUCGAACCGCAUGGUUCGAUAGUGAAAGAUGGUUUUGCUAUCACUUAUAGAUGGACCCGCGCCGUAUUAGCUAGUUGGUAAGGUAACGGCUUACCAAGGCGACGAUACGUAGCCGACCUGAGAGGGUGAUCGGCCACACUGGAACUGAGACACGGUCCAGACUCCUACGGGAGGCAGCAGUAGGGAAUCUUCCGCAAUGGGCGAAAGCCUGACGGAGCAACGCCGCGUGAGUGAUGAAGGUCUUCGGAUCGUAAAACUCUGUUAUUAGGGAAGAACAUACGUGUAAGUAACUGUGCACGUCUUGACGGUACCUAAUCAGAAAGCCACGGCUAACUACGUG